UACGUAGGGUGCGAGCGUUAAUCGGAAUUACUGGGCGUAAAGCGUGCGCAGGCGGUUUUGUAAGCCGGAUGUGAAAUCCCCGGGCUUAACCUGGGAAUGGCAUUCGGGACUGCAAGGCUGGAGUGCGGCAGAGGAGACUGGAAUUCCUGGUGUAGCAGUGAAAUGCGUAGAUAUCAGGAGGAACACCGAUGGCGAAGGCAGGUCUCUGGGCUGACACUGACGCUCAUGCACGAAAGCGUGGGGAGCAAACAGU
rnacentral:rRNA from 1 species